UUUCUUUCUUUCUUUCUUUCUUUCUUUCUUUCUUUCUUUCUUUCUUUCUUUCUUUCUUUCUUUUCUUUCAAAAAAAAAAAAGAAGAACUUUCUGGCAGGUAGAUGGCCACCCAGGGAAUGUGGCAGGACCCUAAGAAGAGCAGGCAGCUGUGCUUGUUGAGAUAUGAGGACAGAAAAGGGACACCCUUUUAUGGUGUCAACUUUUGGAUCUGGGUUUCCCCCAGAUGUUGGGUUGCAUGCCAAUAAACAUGUGGCUUCUUCUCAAAGCCUGUCUUCAAAAAAGCUGAGGCAAAAUGCUAAUAUUAAUUCAGCCUGGCCUCGAAACACUGUCCUGAGCACCCGUCAACUCUGAGAGGAAGUGUGGAGAGUCUCCAUCCAACUCUGCUCCUACUGAGUAAAGUCCCCUUCCCUCCAGAGUGUCACAGAGACACUAGAAUGUCAGGUGCUCUUGUCUGAUGUAGAAGUCUUUGAUGAGGAAGCCUUCUUUCCCUUGGGGUCUCUGGAAGAUCCUAGCAGACUUUGCCUGUGGGCCUGCUCAGCAUGACUUCCAGGACCCCACUGUUCUGGACUGACAUCCCAGGUGUCACAGGCUCAGGGAGUGGCACCAGGUCACCUCUCCAGGGACUGAGCAUCAUUGGCUCAUUGUCAUGGGGAGCUCCCUCCUGACCACGGAGGCUCCACUGGUGGUGCCACAUGGGAAACAUCUACUUCUCAGUCUAAGGCACACUAAGUACUAGUAGCAAGCCUGUGAGCCUAGGAGACUGUGUGUGUGAGGUAAAGGGUGUAGUGGUGGCCUGGGCUGCUGAUGGAGGGGAAGCACCAGUAUCUAGGUGUCUUUGGUAGGGGUGUAUUUUUAUUACACAGAGUUUUUGAACAUAUAGGGACCCCACCAAGAGGCUCUCCUCUCCCCUUCUUAAUCCCAGUAUAGACUGAGUGUCCACUUCAGCAAAGGUGUUUUCAUCCCAGCCUUGGUUUGGAGCUUGCAGACGUAACUGAAUAUAAUUUCCUCCAUUUGCAGCAUGGUUCCCAUGCCAUUGGCGCACCAGACAGAAAAGGGAGAGAGAAAAGACAGGAACUGAUGAGAUAGUUUGAAAGCUGAAGGAGUUCUGAGUUUGUUUAGUUCUUUAUUCCAUCUCUGUGCGGCCUCCCGAGCCUACGUUCGUUCCCUCCUCCCUUAUGGUGUUGGCCUCCUGCCUGCUGUCAUGUGUCCCCCCUUUUGCUCCCCCUCCCCAUCCUGAUGCUUUCAUGUUGGUUCCUGACACAUGGUCUGGCUUUGGGUUUGAAGGGCAAGGGUGGCUGUGAACCACCCCCACCCAGCCGUCAGGCCCGCUUCGUCGUCAUCUCUAUCUCCCUGCUCCCUGGCCCUGAGGGUUUGGAAUCUGACCGGGUGAAGGCACCACCGGCGAGCUUUUGAAAGCAACAGGGCCUAGCCUGCAAACAGUUAUCUUGGGAAACUGUCCAGCCACGUUUCCAUUACUCGGAGCUCUCGGUUACCUUCAGACAUGGUGCCGUGUUGGGAGCAACCUCAGUGGGUUUGCACUACACUCACUCCGUGCUGCAAGUCCAGGGAUACUGUCUGUGGCCACUGAAGUCUCAGGUGCAGAUGGGUUCUCCCGGGAACCCAGGGUUGGAUCCAUAAGGCUUUAAUCUGGCCCUGAAAGCAGUGUUGCCGCUUCAGACAGUACUGCGAGCAAUGGCUGCCUUGUCGGAGUGAGUGUGUAGCUGGACACCUUAGAGGACCCUAUGAAAUUGGAUAUGGAGACUGAUUUGGUGGGAAAAAACCUGUUACUUUCCAGUCACCCCAGGUUCUGACUUUACCUGGGGCAAAAACAAACCACAAAAAGGGAGAAUCUCAUCUGUGAAUUUGUCUUAUCGGCGCUUCUCCCCAGCCCCGCCCCUGCCCCGCCCCGCCCCAGCCCCGCUGUCUUCCAAGUAUUAUUUUUACUGUUAAGAUUUUUUUUAAAUGUGAAAUGAAAUGUAAUGUUUUUACAGCAAUGAUAUGAAAUAUAUUUUAUAAGGAAUAAAAUGGUACAUUGUC
rnacentral:lncRNA from 1 species